rnacentral:lncRNA from 1 species
ACAACCAUGCACGUCUAGCACUAGGAGGUUUUAGAAUAUCCCAGCACUACCGGUGGCUGUAUGAACAACUUUGUACUUUUACUAGCACAUUGGGAUUCAUGGGUAGCAUACCCUGCAGAAGAUUUUACAGAAGGUAAAAGAAAAGCGACUGGACAGGAGGGAAAAUAUAACUCUAUCACCUUACCGGAGAAAACCCAGGAUGAACGGUGACUCAAAAGCCACACAGGAAAUUCUUAGCCGAGAAAUUGUGACAUAGGAAGAAAUAAGUCUGACCUUUGGCUGUAACGGUUGGCACAGAGUUUCCAAAUAGUUUGCAGUUUCCUAGAACUUUGAGGUUUUCAUGGCUACAUGAUGAAAUCCCUCAAAAAAAAAAAAGAAAGAAAGAAAAGAAGAGAAGAGAAAAGAAAAGG